CUGCCCGUAGCUCAGAUGGAUAGAGCAAGGGCCUUCUAAGCCCGAGGUCGCGCGUUCGAAUCGCGCCGGGCGGA
rnacentral:tRNA from 1 species